CGCAUAAGGAUGCUGUUUUGGCCCUGAAAGGUUGCUUUAGGUUGGAAAUGACCCGUCUGAACCAAAGUACAGCCUUCCUAUUUAGGAAACUGCUUUAAAAUCACAGUGCACAGGACCUCGCUUUGCAGCUGGUCCUGAUGCURCAGUUCGUCGGGAAGAUGGAAGUGCAGGGGGCCCCGGACAAAGUCACGGGAGCAUAAGCCCAAGCUUAAGCCCAAGGCCAGGGCUGAAGGACCGUGCUUGAGCCAUGAUCUUCUCGAGGAGAAGCCAUUUUUUGUGG